GCGACGAUCUAUAGCCGGGUUGAGAGACUGGCCGGCCACAUUGGGACUGAGACACGGCCCAGACUCCUACGGGAGGCAGCAGCUAAGAAUCUUCCGCAAUGGACGCAAGUCUGACGGAGCGACGCCGCGUGAACGAUGAAGGCCUUACAGGUUGUAAAGUUCUUUUAUAGUAGACGAAAACUAAGCGUAGGCUUAGUUGACGGUAUUCUAUGAAUAAGGUCCGGCUAACUACGUGCCAGCAGCCGCGGUAAUACGUAGGGACCGAGCGUUGUUCGGAAUUAUUGGGCGUAAAGGGUACGUAGGCGGUCUAAUAAGUCAGAUGUGAAAACCCUGGGCUCAGCCUGAGGCCUGCGUCUGAUACUGUUAGGCUAGAGUUACGGAGAGGAAGUCGGAAUUCCUGGUGUAGGGGUGAAAUCUAUAGAUAUCAGGAAGAACACCGGUAGCGAAGGCGGACUUCUGGACAUAAGCUGACGCUGAUGUACGAAAGUUAGGGUAGCAAACAGGAUUAGAGACCCUGGUAGUCCUAACCGUAAACGUUGUAUACUAGGUGGUGGCGUUUUGAUCGCGUCACUGCCGUAGCUAACGCAUUAAGUAUACCGCCUGGGGAGUAUGCCGGCAACGGUGAAACUCAAAGGAAUUGACGGGGGCCCGCACAAGCAGUGGAGCAUGUUGUUUAAUUCGAUGAUACGCGAGGAACCUUACCAGGUCUUGACAUAUACCCGGAUGUUCCAGAGAUGGAUCAGUCCUUCGGGACGGGUAUACAGGUGCUGCAUGGUUGUCGUCAGCUCGUGCCGUGAGGUGUUGGGUUAAGUCCCGCAACGAGCGCAACCCUUAUUCUUUGUUGCUAACGCGUUAUGGCGAGCACUCUAAGGAGACUGCCGGUGACAAACCGGAGGAAGGUGGGGAUGACGUCAAAUCAUCACGGCCCUUAUGACCUGGGCUACAAACGUGCUACAAUGGGCGGUACAAAGAGUUGCGAGUCUGUGAAGAGGAGCUAAUCUCAAAAAACCGUCCUCAGUUCGGAUUGGAGUCUGAAACCCGACUCCAUGAAGUUGGAAUUGCUAGUAAUCGCAUAUCAGCCAUGAUGCGGUGAAUAUGUUCCCGGGCCUUGUACACACCGCCCGUCACAUCACCCGAAUUGACUAUACCCGAUGUGGCUGAGCCAACCCUUCGGGG
rnacentral:rRNA from 1 species